rnacentral:rRNA from 1 species
UACGUAGGUGGCAAGCGUUGUCCGGAUUUACUGGGCGUAAAGAGCGCGCAGGCGGUCGUGCAAGUCGCGUGUGAAAGCCCCCGGCUCAACUGGGGAGGGUCACGCGAUACUGCUCGACUCGAAGGCAGGAGAGGGAAGUGGAAUUCCCGGUGUAGUGGUGAAAUGCGUAGAUAUCGGGAGGAACACCAGUGGCGAAGGCGACUUCCUGGACUGUUACUGACACUGAGGCACGAAAGCGUGGGGAGCGAACAGG